rnacentral:tRNA from 1 species
GCGGGUGUUGCAUAAUGGUAGUGCAGCAGCUUCCCAAGCUGCUGGCGAGGGUUCGAUUCCCUUCACCCGCUCCA